AAAUAUAUCGACAGUUAAUUUUUUAUCAAUUUUUUUCUGUAAGUUAGUAUUCUCAGCAGAAUCUCUAUGAAAACUAUGGCUUUAUAAUUCUCUUCAUACCUUUUCUUCUAUUACAUCGCAACACGACGAUUUGAUAUAUACUGAUAUAAACAGAAAAAGAUGUCGCUUACACAGCAUCGAAAUAACAACCCAACUAAACACACAACCAAAAGUCCCUUGGAAACACUUUUAUUGUAUUCAAGAGAAGACAGGUGUCUCUAUACAUAUAUAAUGUCAACUUCCGA
rnacentral:lncRNA from 1 species